GGCAGUAACGGCAACAGGAGGAAUGGCGAGAGGCACAGAAGCAAUAACGGCAACAACAGCAGCAGGAACGAGCGCAGCAAAAGCAAAGACUCGGAUCGGAAAUUUUGUAAAAUAUGUUUUUGUAAAAAACACCAACGGAUAAUGCGAACUUUAUUCCGUCAUUGGGACGAUAAAGGAUUACUUUGAAGAAAGUCUAUGCAAGUCCAUUGAACAUUUCUAAAAAGCCAGUUAAUAUUACCGUCCUUCUGUAAGAUAAAGUUUUGCUUAUUGCAAACUCGUACGGGAUAAUAAGGUAUCGUUUUUCUUGUUAAAGCCAGGAGUGUUACUCGAUGACAUACAAUCGAUCGGAGCAGCACUUUUACUCUUACAAUUGUUCACAAAAGUGUUUGUUUUCGUGUGCGGCCUCAAAAGAAGAAAGGAAAACAUAUGCUUGAAGGAACGGUUAACGAUAUAUCAGACGUCGAAUUUCACGAAAUAUCUGCAAGAACUUAAUCGUUUUUCAAAAUGCUUAGCGGAGAAGAAAAGCAAUCGAGGCCAAGUACAGCUGAAAACCCAAAAAGAAGCCCACUGUUGCUAAGGCUGUUGUAGUCGUCAAGCAAAAUGUAGCCAAACACUAUUCUCCCUUUCUCCUGUCCUUUAAUUACAAUCCUCCCGCCUGUUAUCGGAGACUUUGAGCUUGCUUAGUAGGCAGUCAGUUCGAACCCAAGAAGCGACGUUCGAUGUGCGAGUCGCUUGUCCAAUCGCGCGAAUUACAUGCAGAAACAAUUUGAUAGACAUAUAAGUAUAUCGACAAUUAAAUUUGCUGGGAGAGCCUGCUGAAAAUUUGAUAACGAAAUUUCAUUUCCAUGGCCGGUACAACGUUAGCAGAUAUCUGAGGUAUUUUGUAAAAUUUUUAAUGCAACUUUAAGCAAAUUUGGUUAACCCGUUGAUGGACGUGCAUGCGUACACCUUCCAAAAAUUUAAAGCCAAUUAUUUUUAUUCUAUAAUAUAUAUAACUUUAAUAUAUUAAUAAUAGGUAUUUAACAAAAUUGGAUGUUAUGGCAUUCAUUACAUACAUACACACGUUUAUAUUAUGCCUACCGUUAAAAACUAUUUUUUAAUCCGGAUUCGGAUAUAGCUACUAAUUUUAAAAGAUAUGGAGUAUAAUUUUUUAUAUCUCACUGAAAUUUUUACUCUUCGCGAACGCAUUAUGUAAAACAGUAUAUGCUUUUGAAAUGCUUAUGUAUGAGAUAAGCGAUAUAAAUGAAAUUUAUUAUAUUACAUGCAGUAGACAUAUACUAAGAAUUAAUCCGCAUUUGCUAAGAUUUAAUUAAACACAACACAAACCAAUGUAAGCGUCGUUUGUAGUUAGCUCGAUAUUAUUAGGCCUAGGCGCUUACAAGUUGGUUAUUCACAUCGACCAGCUUAUUUCGUUAUGCUAGCGGAAUCAUGGCGGAUAAAUUUUGAUGCAAAAACAAUAAGAAUUUCCAACAUCAUUAGUUGCGUAGCGAAUGCCGAGAAUAGCCUACGAUUAUUUUUAAUUUUUAUAAGGCAGAAUUUGAAGAAAAUAAAAACCAUUUGGCUGUUGCAUUGCCAUUUAUCAGUCCAAUUUGGCGAUCAAAAAAAAAAAAACAGACGGUCUAAUGAACAUUGUAAAAGUACAUAGUCAUGUAAUGUACUCGAUAAAAUCUAAAUUAUUCACAAGUAGGUGUAUAUUCUGGCGCUGCAAACGAUUCCUAGUUAUAAGAGAGAUCACAACAUUUUUGCAUUUAACCCGGUAUUCCAGUGUAAUAGCCACAAAAGAAUUUUCCAAUAUCAAUUCUAUUAAAAAAAAAUAAACUGGUAUAAGUACACAUGAGGGGAUUCCAUCAGGUC